ACAAAGGGGUGCUUUCUGAACGCAGGAAGCUGAGAUUAUACCCUUGAACCUGAUGCAGCUAAUACUGCCGUAGGGAUUGU
rnacentral:ncRNA from 1 species